rnacentral:misc_RNA from 1 species
UUAAGUUCAGCGGGUAUCCCUACCUGAUCCGAGGUCAACUUUAUAAAAAUAAUGGGUAAGACCGGGCCUGGACUUCUAGCCAAUACGUGCUCCGAAGAAGCUCAGUGUACUGGAGUCCUCACAGACGCCGUCAUUAUCUUUGGGGCGGGCGACCGACAAACGACCACCGACGUCCAACAACAAGCCGAGCUUGAGGGGUA